rnacentral:rRNA from 1 species
UACGUAGGGUGCGAGCGUUAAUCGGAAUUACUGGGCGUAAAGCGUGCGCAGGCGGUUUUGUAAGCCAGAUGUGAAAUCCCCGGGCUUAACCUGGGAAUGGCAUUUGGGACUGCAAGGCUUGAGUGCGGCAGAGGAGAGUGGAAUUCCUGGUGUAGCGGUGAAAUGCGCAGAUAUCAGGAAGAACACCGGUGGCGAAGGCGGCCCACUGGAUCGGUACUGACGCUGAGGUGCGAAAGCGUGGGGAGCAAACAGG